UAUCAAAUGAAGAAUAUCUUUGUUUACAUGGGUCCGAAGAAGCAGGAAACGCUUCAAUUUGAUUAGUUUAGAAAUGAUCUAGGCACGUUUUCUUGUUGAAUCACUUUGCAAACAAUGAAAAACGAUCCAAUUGUCUUGUUUAGUUAGAUCUUUGGAGCAUGGUGAUGGUGUCAGCUUGCUACGAUGGUAGCUAGCUAGCUAGCUAUCUCCACGUUAGCAACAAUCAGUCGCUAGCUAAACAGCUCACGGAGGACGACUGUCUAUGAUAUUUGACCUCCGAUGUUAUUAAGAUAUUAAAAUAUUUAUAAAAGUAAAGAAAAAAAAUGGAUAUCAGUCUAACAGUUUCCCUAAUGCAGGGCCAGAUGGGUACCGUGAUAGAGAGAGCGGUGAGUGCCGCUGUUGAGACGGUGUUAGGGGAGAUGCUGAAGGUGGUCGGUAUUAAAUUCGACGAGCUGAAGAGGGAGGUCGCAGCAAAAGAAAAAGAGACCGAGAGCAUCAGACAGAUGCUGGACAAAUCCCGAUCUCAGAUGAAGACAAUGCGGAAGUACAUGAACGCUCUGGGUGCCAGGCAGCAGGAGCACUCUGCCACUUACCAGACCAACCAGAGUACAGCAUUCGGUCAUUCGGAUCCGCAUAGACCUCACUGUUCCUCAGCGGCUGCAUCCGAGGCAGCGCAGUCCUCUGGUUUAUCACAACCACAGAGAAGGACGGUUACCAACACCCACAUUGCCAUUACAAAUGGAAACGUACAGUCAAGGAAUCACAUCACUAUCGCUCUACCCUCUGAUAACUUGGCCAGAUCCUCCCAACCUUCUGAGAAUAUUAUAAGGGCCACAUCAUCAUCGUCGUUUGACAGCCACGAUGACCUGACUGCCACGGUCUCACAAGCUCUGGAGAGCCCAUCAUUGAUCACCACUGUCUCUGCAAUAAACAGUUCAUCAGAGCACCUGGAACCUUUGAAAGAGGAGCCCCCAGCAUCCCUGGACCCCGAGGUGUCUGAUGAGAGCCAGAGGAGGGAGGAGGAAGAAGAGUGUCAGGCUGAGUGGACCAUCAUUACACAGCCACCAGAGACCAGCACAGACCCUGGGGACCAGCUGGUCCUCUCCCCACCCAGGACUGACGGAGCAGAGUGCUUUGCCACCAUGGCUGCUGGGAGUGCCCAGCCUCGGCUCCAGGUGAAAGAGGAGGAGGCCGAGGUGGAGAUCAUCUGUAUCAAGCAGGAACCGGAGGACGUUGAGAGUUUGCUGUUCAACCUGGCUGCUGAGGUCCUCAACUCCCAGGGCAACCUUUUAGACAGGCACACUCAGGGGAGCCUCCUGGACUGUCACAGGACAGUACCCUCACAGGGCCAGAGAGAGAGGACAGUACCCUCACAGGGCCAGAGAGAGAGGACAGCAUCCCUUUCCUCACAGAGCCAGAGGACAUUAACAGAGCACACAGUGUUCAGCUCAGCCAGCCCUUGUACAUAUGGGCUGUCCCAGCCAGUGAUGUCCAUGUCACGCGGAGUUGCUCCCAGGCCAAUGGUCCGUCCGUGGCCCAAAGACCUGAGUCUGUACGAGGAGUUUAAAAUGAGACGAAGUGAGCUGAGGAGGAGGAGCCAGACCCGUCGGAGGGAGAUGGAGAAGAACCUUCCCCAGCCUCUAUUAGCUGACCUGGUGAAGGAGAGACGAGAGAAGACCCGGCUCAGAGUGGCCCGCUGGAGAGCCAAGAGGAAGCUGCAGGCCUGCCAACUGACUCAGAUGAGCCAGACACAACACCAGGCUGGACCUGGUCUGGGCCAGGGGAACAGUGGGCUGGCGAAUCAUAGCCCGAUUAGCCAACACACACAGCACAAAACCACAGGCCCCACUCAGACUCCGCAGAGGAACCGUGCUGCCCUCUCUCAAUCGCAGUACAACAACAGUUUUUUGUACAACAGAAGUCACUGUGAGACUGGGGCUGGUAACGUUAACUACCCUCCUCUCCAGUUCAACUCCUCCUCUCUAAUGCUGGGACAACAUGGAGGACACGAUAUGGAGCCUGUCAUGAAAUCAUCCUCACAGCAGGGCCUCUCACUGACUGACUCAGAGCUCUACCAGUAACAGGAGAACAACAGUACCAGGUCUACUCUACAGGAGAACAACAUUACCAGUUCUACUCUACAGGAGAACAACAGUACCAGGUCUACUCUACCAGUAACAGGAGAACAACAGUACCAGUUCUACUCUACAGGAGAACAACAGUACCAGUUCUACUCUACCAGUAACAGGAGAACAACAGUACCAGGUCUACUCUACAGGAGAACAACAUUACCAGUUCUACUCUACAGGAGAACAACAUUACCAGUUCUACUCUACAGGAGAUCAACAUUGCCAGUUCUACUCUACAGGAGAACAACAGUACCAGGUCUACUCUACAGGAGAACAACAUUACCAGUUCUACUCUACAGGAGAACAACAGUACCAGGUCUACUCUACAGGAGAACAACAUUACCAGUUCUACUCUACAGGAGAACAACAUUACCAGUUCUACUCUACAGGAGAACAACAUUACCAGUUCUACUCUACAGGAGAACAACAUUACCAGUUCUACUCUACAGGAGAUCAACAUUGCCAGUUCUACUCUACAGGAGAACAACAGUACCAGUUCUACUCUACCAGUAACAGGAGAACAACAGUACCAGUUCUACUCUACAGGAGAUCAACAGUACCAGUUCUACUCUACAGGAGAACAACAGUACCAGUUCUACUCUACCAGUAACAGGAGAACAACAGUACCAGUUCUACUCUACAGGAGAACAACAGUACCAGGUCUACUCUACCAGUAACAGGAGAACAACGGUACCAGUUCUACUCUACAGGAGAACAACAUUACCAGUUCUACUCUACCAGUAACAGGAGAACAACAGUACCAGUUCUACUCUACCAGUAACAGGAGAACAACAGUACCAGGUCUACUCUACCAGUAACAGGAGAACAACGGUACCAGUUCUACUCUACAGGAGAUCAACAGUACCAGGUCUACUCUACCAGUAACAGGAUAACAACAGUACCAGUUCUACUCUACAGGAGAUCAACAGUACCAGUUCUACUCUACCAGUAACAGGAGAACAACAGUACCAGUUCUACUCUACAGGAGAACAACAGUACCAGGUCUACUCUACCAGUAACAGGAGAACAACAGUACCAGGUCUACUCUACAGGAGAACAACAGUACCAGGUCUACUCUACAGGAGAACAACAGUACCAGGUCUACUCUACAGGAGAACAACAGUACCAGGUCUACUCUACAGGAGAACAACAGUACCAGUUCUACUCUACCAGUAACAGGAGAACAACAGUACCAGGUCUACUCUACAGGAGAACAACAGUACCAGUUCUACUCUACCAGUAACAGGAGAACAACAGUACCAGGUCUACUCUACAGGAGAACAACAGUACCAGGUCUACUCUACCAGUAACAGGAGAACAACAGUACCAGUUCUACUCUACCAGUAACAGGAGAACAACAGUACCAGGUCUACUCUACAGGAGAACAACAGUACCAGUUCUACUCUACCAGUAACAGGAGAACAACAGUACCAGGUCUACUCUACCAGUAACAGGAGAACAACAGUACCAGGUCUACUCUACAGGAGAACAACAGUACCAGGUCUACUCUACAGGAGAUCAACAGUACCAGGUCUACUCUACCAGUAACAGGAGAACAACAGUACCAGGUCUACUCUACCAGUAACAGGAGAACAACAGUACCAGGUCUACUCUACAGGAGAACAACAGUACCAGGUCUACUCUACAGGAGAACAACAGUACCAGGUCUACUCUACAGGAGAACAACAGUACCAGGUCUACUCUACAGGAGAACAACAGUACCAGGUCUACUCUACAGGAGAACAACAUUACCAGUUCUACUCUACCAGUAACAGGAGAACAACAGUACCAGGUCUACUCUACAGGAGAACAACAGUACCAGGUCUACUCUACAGGAGAACAACAGUACCAGGUCUACUCUACCAGUAACAGGAGAACAACAGUACCAGGUCUACUCUACCAGUAACAGGAGAACAACAGUACCAGGUCUACUCUACAGGAGAACAACAGUACCAGGUCUACUCUACAGGAGAACAACAGUACCAGGUCUACUCUACCAGUAACAGGAGAACAACAGUACCAGGUCUACUCUACCAGUAACAGGAGAACAACAGUACCAGGUCUACUCUACAGGAGAACAACAGUACCAGGUCUACUCUACAGGAGAACAACAGUACCAGGUCUACUCUACAGGAGAACAACAGUACCAGGUCUACUCUACAGGAGAACAACAGUACCAGUUCUACUCUACCAGUAACAGGAGAACAACAGUACCAGGUCUACUCUACAGGAGAACAACAGUACCAGGUCUACUCUACAGGAGAACAACAGUACCAGGUCUACUCUACCAGUAACAGGAGAACAACAGUACCAGGUCUACUCUACCAGUAACAGGAGAACAACAGUACCAGGUCUACUCUACCAGUAACAGGAGAACAACAGUACCAGGUCUACUCUACCAGUAACAGGAGAACAACAGUACCAGGUCUACUCUACCAGUAACAGGAGAACAACAGUACCAGGUCUACUCUACCAGUAACAGGAGAUCCAAUCAGAGGACACUUGUGUUGUAAGGAUUCUAUUCCCUAUGUGGUGCUCUACUUUGGACAAGGGCCUUUUUGGCUUCCUAGGGAAUACUUUGACUUAUGGGACACAACCUAUUACUUCUGGCUAAUAACAU